CCCGCUGAACUUAAGCAUAUCAAUAAGCGGAGGAAAAGAAACUAACAAGGAUUCCCUUAGUAACUGCGAGUGAAGAGGGAAAAGCUCAAAUUUAAAAUCUGGCAGUUAUUUGCUGUCCGAGUUGUAAAUGGGAGAAGUGUUAUCUGCGCUGGCCUGUGCAUAAGUCUCUUGGAAAAGAGCAUCAUAGAGGGUGACAAUCCCGUCUUUGGCACAGACUACCAGGGCUUUUGUGAUGCGCUCUCAACGAGUCGAGUUGUUUGGGAAUGCAGCUCCAAAUGGGUGGUAAAUUUCAUCUAAAGCUAAAUAUUGGCCAGAGACCGAUAGCGCACAAGUAGAGUGAUCGAAAGAUGAAAAGCACUUUGAAAAGAGAGUUAAACAGUAUGUGAAAUUGUUGAAAGGGAAGCGCUUGCAACCAGACUUGUGUUUAAUGGUUCCCUCUGAUCUUUUUGAUCGAGCUAUUCCGUUAUAUCCAGGCCAGCAUCGGUUCAAGUGGUUGGUUAAAGAUUUUAGGAAUGUAUCUACCUUCGGGUCGACUUAUAGCCUAGAAUGUAAUGCAACCUAUUUGGACCGAGGAACGCGCUUUUUUGCUCGGAUGCUGGCAUAAUGGUUGUAAGCGGCCCGUCUUGAAACACGG
rnacentral:rRNA from 1 species